rnacentral:rRNA from 1 species
UGAAUGACUCUCGACAAUGGAUAUCCUGGCUCUCGUGUUGAUGAAGAACGUAGCGAAAUGCGGCAUUUGGUGUGAAUUGCAGAAUCCCGUGAACCAUCUAGUCUUUGAAUGCAAGUUGCGCUCCGAGACCANNGGGUCGAGGGCACGNANGUUUGGGUGUCUUUC